UGUCCUAUUGUAAUAAUUUGAAUGCCUGAGCAUUAUGCCACAGAAUAAGAAGGUACAGCAGAAGCGUAACUCGAGUCGGUUCCCUUAUUGUUUUACGUCCACGAAAAUUUUAACUCGCUCACGCCAUCCUGGCUAGUACAACCGGAAGUUUUUUAUCAGGUUUUGGUAGGUACAAAGUGCCGGUUGUACUAGCCAGGAUGGCG